GCAGAACGUUCCCUGUACCUCCCUCUCUCCUGACGCCCAUCCCAGCAGUAUGUUCAUGUUUGAUAACUUAAAAAGACAUAAAAGUGGAGAAAAUUGGAGCUUUCACAAGAGACAAGCUUUUUGUUAUUACAGAUAUUUUUUAGCUGCACUUCUGCAGUUCUUUACUUUUUUUUUUGAGCAAAUUCCUUCAUUUGUCAUGUUGAAUGACGCUAGCAGCUGUCAAAAUAUGCUUUAAAUCAGUCAGUUUCCAUUUGCUGUCUGUUGCACUAUUAUUUUAUGAGUUAUGCAGUGAUUUUUAUGAAUUAUUAAUAUUUGGAUCAGAGCUCUAGGCUUGCCGUAAACCUUUUCUAAAUGUGACAAUGAAUCCCACUCUUCUUGCAGUUGUUAUGGCAGUUGAUAGCAGACACUUCAAAAGCUUUGCAGCAGCCAGUUGAGUGCAUAUCUCAGGAGAUGUAGAUUUGCAGGGAAUUUGAGACUUCUUAUUAUCAGGAAAUGUUUUCCUUUGACAGCAUGUUAUGUAGCAGACACGCCUGUGUGAACUGCCAGUGAUGUGGGGGAGCUCAUGUUCAAUCUCCAGAUGAUCUGAAAGGAUCGUGGCAGGCUUUGAUUUUUAACUUUAAAAAUGCUCGUCCUUCCAGAUCAAACUGAAAGGGAAAAACCUUCCCUGAAUCAGCUUUUCCUUUCUGCACAUGUUGCUGCUUUGUUGGUGGGACAGGCUUCCAUGAGAACAAAUGUUCUGGAACAGAUUUGAUCUAUUCCUGUUGCCAUUGAUGCCUAUGUGACCGUAGACCCUGCGUGAAACAAGCAAAGAGCACAACCCUCUGUUUAUUCCUGUGCACAGUAAGUGCUGAACAAAGCAGGAAGAGUGAUCACCUCUAGUUUCUCGAGUCAGCAUUCUGAUUUCGUCAGCAUCUGGUUCAUUACCGAAAGGUUCAGAAUAUUUCCUCUGAUUGCUUUCCUGUUUGGAUUGUUCCAGAGCUCUGAACACUUGAACACCCACCAUGGAUGACUUUGAACGCCGUAGAGAACUCAGGAGGCAAAAGCGUGAGGAAAUGCGCCUUGAAGCAGAGAGGUGAGGUUGCAUGGAAUAUGUGUCGGUGACUUGACUUUUAAUAGUAAUGGCUUUGAGGAUUUUUCUUUUAAAUUCAGAGCAGCUAACUGAAGAGUCCUUGCUAAAAAUAUGUGCCAUAAAAUGCCUUUAUUUAAUAUCAUGGGAGAAGCUGGACUUCAGUGGUGUCUGUUGCCUGUAUCCCUUAGGGCGUUAUAAACUGGCUUCCAGUUAUUUUGCAGAAUGGAUGAACGUGAACAGUGAAGGUGAUCUAUGGUAAUGUGAAACUACUGAUAGGAAAACUCAUGCUCAUGUGAGGGAGUGUUUGCUGUACAGAACAGAUUUUGUGUUUUUAGAUGCUGAGCUAAAAUUGCAGGUUUUCAGUUGAAAGCUGAGACACCCUUGCUGGAUGUGGUAUAGUAUAUCUGUGACUUGUGUGCCACUGCUUUGCAAUUGGUAUUAUGUUUAAUGUGCCUGUCGUUAUUUAUCUACAGCCACUUCAUGUGGGCAAUAUGGGCAGCAUUUGCUAUCAGUUAUUCCAGAUUACAGCUUUACUUUGCAGUUGAGGACAGAACUUGGCAUGGGCGUGAUGAUGUCUAUUUAUGAAAAGAAGCAGCAUGAAAAUAUUAAGAAUGAUAUUUGUUGAACUUCCAUUUCAUAUUUGUACAGAUCCAUCUGCUUUAAUAGGAUUCCCGUGUUUUACAAUGGAGUGAGUGGAGAGAAAGGCCCAAUUUUGUAGUAUUUAUUUUGAUAUAAAGAUUUGAUGUAGUUUAUUAACACCAUAGUGAUUUUUAAAAAAAGGAACUUAGGUUUAAGCAUAUUUUGUUCUCGCUUUUGUGUUUAAUUUUACAUAUGGACUUCUUUUUUUUUCUUGACUUUUCCAUUCACUAACAAAAUUAUGGUGUUUCAGGUUCUGUGUGCUUUAGACAAAAUACUUUUUUUCCUAAGCAUUUUAAAAUGAAAUCAGAAAUCAGCAGAAUGCAAUACCAAAUAUAUUUUGUAUGUCUGCAUGGAGCUUUUUAAUAAAGCCUUGCUUACAUAGUAGAGCUCUCUGAUACUCUGAUAGUAUCUAGGGUGAACUCCCAGACAGAUGAGAUGGAAUAGUGACCUUUCUUUUGAAAGGAAAUGUUGCCCUGCAGAACUGGGCUUCUGAGCUCUCAUCAGGCUAUAAGUAGAAUCCAUGAACUCUGGAAGACAGCAUUGCUGCCUGCAGGUAAAUAAACUUACAUGAGGUAUGGUGACCAAAGGGAAAUGAGGUAGUCUUCCUUUGCAAACCAGCAUCACCUGGUUCGUGACUAAACCCAAAAGAAAGAGAAGCAAAUGUGCCGUGUCAUGAAGUGACCUUCUUAUCCCAGAAGGUUCUUCUCCAGGCCAGUAGUAAUAUAUUUUGGUUGGACAGAGUGGGAGGAAUUUCAGAGCCUGUGCCAGUGCAAGCCUGGCCUGCUGGGUAAGCAGAGCUUCUGCUUCCAGCGGUAUCUGGCUUGCACUUCCUAUUGCAGCAUUUAUUUAGGCAGAAAUGAGAUGAAAUGAAGGAAGGUGUGUGCUGUUGCUGUUGAUGCGGGCAUAAAUGCUGAGCACAUACAUCAACUGGAAAGAAGUCUGCUGUUUAUCCAAGAAGUCAAAAAUGCUCAGAUAUAUUGCAUGCUGGAAAUCUGGUCUGAGGCCCAUUUACACUGAAUGUACAUUCACUGCAUGUACAUUCAUUUUAGCAGAUUAUUAACAGCAUUGCAUAAUGAGAACAUAUGAUAUUCUUAUACUUCUAGUACACUUCUACUCUACAAAAAACAACACGCUUUUAAAAGAAAGGCUAACAGUUUAAGGUUUAUUGCUAAUACAGUUACUCAGAUGCUGUAGAGGAUUCUGGGGCAUGUAGUCUAAAAGGUAUUUUCUACCAUGGAAAAAGUCACAUGAACUUCUCUGUAAAAUCAUUCAAACUCUUACGUGAAUAUGCUGAGACUGCCAAGUGAUUCGGGUGCCAGUGAUGUCAUGUGUCCAUUUUGUGGAUGUGGUGAAAGUUGCAGGGGAUAAUGGGCUUGCCAUUGGAAAUAGAAAUUCAGUAUAUCCAGUGUGUCAGUAAGUCACUGUGUAACACAUAGGCUGGCUGUCUCUGUUCAUACUGAGGGAAACUGAAGCUCUUGGGGGACAAAAGCUGCAGUGAACAGCUCAAUGGUGACCUCUGAAGGACCCAUUCCUGGGAAGCCCUAAGGGUUGAUGUCUCUGUCUCCCUUAAGUGAACAGGAAGGUGGGAGGUUGGGGCAAGAGAGUGAUGGCCUCUGAGGUAGUAUACAGCCCCAACUUAUCCAUCCAUGCAUCCUUCUGGGAGGUGUUUUUUGGCAGUGCUUGAAGUAGCUGUGCUGUUUUUUGUUGUUGUGGUGGUGGUGGUGAUGGUUUUUUUUUUGUGUGUGUGUGGUAACCUUUGUGGAGGAGACAAAAUUGAUGCAAGACUGGCUGGAGGAGUAGGGCUUGGGUCUGCUUCUCUGUUUUCUGCUCAGUCGCUGCAGAAGCACUCCGUGCCCUUUCCCACACAUUUAAAGACUUUUAGCAAUAAAUUGCUGUAUGCUAAAUCUUGCUGCACUCCCUCUGCUGCUGCCAACUUCAAGCAUUCAAGUAUUAUGAGUCAGACCCCUUGAAAGUCACAAGACUGCUUUAAAAAUCUUGAGAUCUUAAAAAUAAUUUAGUCUGGCCUUUUUAUUUUGGGUUUGCCGUAACAAUAACAGGGCCUGAUUCUCAAGUUUGGAUGUCUCUUGGAGCUGGGACUUCACGAAACCCACCCCAGCAGGGGCAAGGUCAGGAAGAAACUGAAUGUUGGUCCUUUCUGCAUAGCAAAUGGAGCUGAGGGCCAGAAGGGUUAAGGCAUUUAUUAGCAAAUGAAUAUGAAACUCUGAGUUAUGCUUGGUGAACUCACAUUUUAGGGAUUUCUGGAUCAUUCUCACCUUUAAAUAUAUGACUACAACAUGUUUGUGUACGUCUGUUCUCCUACCUUAAACCACAGCAAUCUGCUAGCCAGACCUCCCUUGGUUUGAAUGCUUUUGGGUGUUUUAUCAAGUGAAAAUAGUGUGUUCCUGAGGAGCAGCACGGGGGCUGAAAAUGCAGUGUUUGCUCUGAGCAUUGGUAGCUGCGGUGUAGGCUGUAACCUAUUUCCUAGGUCUCCCAGAAACUGUUCAGGCUUCUUUGAGUCAAAUAGUAAAUGCAGAAAUGAAAACACCAUAUCCAACAGCACUAUUUGUAGUUCAGCCAGUCGCAGUAACGCAUUUUACCAUUUCCUGGGUUCAAGGCACAUGGAGGGUUUACCUUCUCAGACUGACAACCACACACUCUGGAGAUGGAGGAGUGUGGAUGGCUUAAAGUCUGUAAGGCCUCAGGGACAGCGUGCUUGAGAGGGGAUGCUUUGACUGCUGCCUCUUCUGCAGGGCCCAGAGGCUGACUGAGGCCUGGUCAGGGUAAAUGUACCAUGAGCUUCCCAAGUGACCAUCAUGCUAGAGCCACUGAUGCCCAGCAAUAUAUGCCUUAUUUCUGGAGAUGCUUAUGGGGAGUCCAGUCCACGUGGGCUCAUGUUAGGCUUUGUUGUUGUUGUUGUUCCCCUUCCUUGCUAGAAAGCUGAUGAAAAUGAUGAUGCUGUUUUGGUGUGUAGCCCUGGUGUUUUGGGUUGGUCUGCUCGGGAGGAUGACGAGGAAGCUACCUUUGUCUUUUAAAGACCAACAGAAUGGUUCAUCCUUGGCAUGUGCUUUCUCUGUUAGUUCAUGCUGUGGCAGCUCAGAUAUAAAUUGCUACCGGUCCAGAAAUCUCAUGUUUCAUUAGCAUUUUACACUCUUCUCAUUUCAAGAUAGCCUACAUCUCCUGGAUUUCCCAUAUACAGGCCUGCCAUACCCACCCAGAAUUAUCCUCCAGCUGGAUUUUCUUGGCUUUUUGUGUUUACCUGUUAUCUCUGGAGAUUUAUCAUCUUAUUUGAAGUAACAGCACAGACCUGUCUAGGGGCAUGUGUCCUAAAAUGGGAGUGGGACCUACCCCCGAUGUGUCAGAUUUACUGCAUGUGCUUGGGCUGCCAGGACUCUGCAAGACUUUCUAGACACAGGCUGGAACAAAGUACGGCACUGUUAACUGCUCCAGUCUGAUAGCAUUUUGUGUGUGGUUUCUACUACACAGCUGUGAGGGCAGGGGAAGUCAGACUCUACCAGCUAUUUGGGUGACCUCUGGAACUGCUUUGUGGUGGAGCCGAGGCUUCAUCCCAGUCCUUGGUGGCAGAGGGAGACCUGCAUAUGGGCCCACACUGGCUGAAGUCACUUGGAAGCUUUCCAUUUAUUUCGCCGGGCUCUGGGCUAGGCCAUACCUGAGUUAUUCCAGCCAGAUGAUUUAUGAGGCAAUCUCAGCGGCAGCCUUGGAGGAGCUGGAUGAACACUUUGCCUCCCAGUCACAGGGUACAUACCGUGCUGCACAGGCAGGGCUGUCACAGAAAUGGUUUGUGCUUACUGAUGAAAAAAAAUCCCAUUUGUAGCUGAAGCGCAAAGGGCUGGCUUCUUUCAGCAAACGCCACCUGCUUUUUGUACCUCUUCCUGGGCAAUAAAAAGAUGUUCCAUGGCCAUUGGGUUUUGUCAUUUUGAUGUUGUAGCUGACACUGGAAGAAUUCAGCCUGGAGUUGGCUAGAGUGUGUGUGUGUGAAUCUGCAGUGAAGUACUGAGGUGAAACACUUCUUUAAGUGGGAGAAGACCUACUCCCGUGGGGCUUUCUUUAACCAUGAUGUUGAGGGCUAUGUAGGAUCUCCUGACAGGAGUUGUAGCAAUCUUAACUAAAGGACUCAUCUCCUUGCAGAUCAGUAAAGUAUUAAUAAGCAUAUGCUAAAAGAGAGAAAUUCAACUGUCAUCUGCAUUUGUGCUGUAUGAAAACUUAAUGAGAAGUGCGUUGCUUAUCUUCUGGACAAGUAAGACAGAAGAUAUUUGUUGCCUCAGUAUCUUAAUACGUUUGUAGUACAAGGAAAGUUCAUCCUUGUGAGGCACAAAAUAGGCAGUUUCUGUGCCUCUUCUGUCUAAGACAGCUUAGGUGAGGUUAAGCAAGUAUUAAUACUAGAUCAACACUGAAUGACCACAAGCAGCUUUUGAAACUGCUUCUUAUUGUUGAAAGAGUUAUCUCUGGGAUAGGGUAUAUACUGAGGACAAUUGUUAAACAUUGUUGGAAGUUUAAAAAUGAGCAUGAAUGGAUACUUUUAAAUUAUCUCCUACUUUCUGGAACAUGAGGGAUUGUCUAAGCCUGGUUGCACUUUCACUGAUGGUUUUCAGAGAUUGUGCUUUGAUUCAGACUUUUGUAACUGAAUGAAGAGAAUGAUCUCAACAAGAGUUUUCAAGGAGUGCAUGCUUAAACAUAUGAGAGGCUGACUUAAUAAUACUUAACAAAGAAUUUCCCAAUGUUCACCAUUUAUUUCAGAACAGUACUUCCAAAAACGUCUUCCAGAGGACUGUGCUUUGUUUAGUUUAGCCUUCUUUUGGUGCUAAAACACAAGCUACAGUGACUUUAUCUCUUCACGUUCUCUUUAUAUAUCCUGAAGUUUCAAGUUCAAGGGUUUCUGCUUGUCUUUCCAUAAAAUACCUUCUGCAAGAGCUGAGACAUGACAUAUUCUGCCCAGAAGUUAAAUAUUUUAAAAAAUGAAUAAAUAAGAUUAGAAGUGCAUGAGGAUUGAGUACAAAUUGAGACAAAAUAGUCCAGCUGUUAAUCUGUCUUCCCAGCUACCUUGCAUUUCAGGACUGACAGAAAAUAUUUGGAUUGUCAAGGUGAAUUUGGCCCUGCUCAUUAUGCUGAUCACUGUUUCUGGAAUUCUUGGAGCUCAUUCUUAACACAGGCAAAAAAACAUAAUUGAUUCAGUGCCUCCGUAAAGCCUGCCCUACUGUUGUCACUCUGAAGUGAGAGUGUAUAUUAGACACAUCUUCGCUAUGGUAGCAUUUCAGAUGCCCUGGAGAUAAUAACCAAACAUACACAAACCUGAGCAGAGCCCUACCAAUUAAUUUUACAGUGACUGUGCAUUUUGCAGGCUGUAUUUUCUUUAAAUGUCCUAAUGGAGAAGCGUUCUAUAAAAGAAGCCUUGUUCUUCCAAAUAGCUAGACAUGAGGAAUAUAGACUUUACUGAGCUAACCUCCCACAGUUCCUAAGCAGACAACAAAAUGGGCUCCUUAAUAUUUCAGAUAUUAAUCCCACAUGUAUGUUAAGAUUAUUCUAUAAUCUCUGUACUACAUCUACCACAGCAGCUAGGUUUUUAGGAGGAGAGCAUCCAGACAGCUGGCAAAAUGCCAUGUCUUUCACCUCUUUCGGCAAAAUGGCAAGUUUGCUUUAGAAGCACCAAAGAGUGUUAGAAAUUCUUGGGUGAAAAUCCCCCCUUCCUAUCCUAUAGCUUGCUAGCCCAACUACCCCCAAAAGCAGUCUAUCCUUCUGUUUUCUACUGUAUUUUUACUAGCUUAGCUAGUCUAAAGCCUUUGAUGAACUGGAUCUUAUUUAAAUGCCUACUAAAUGUGGGCAUUGAGCCAUGGUUUUUGGUGCUCGUUAUUGACUAUUUUAGUAUGCAUAUUUAAAAGGGUACCAGGAGUCAUAGGACAGUAUGGUAUUUCUUCAUGGUUUUAAGAAUUACUGAGGCAUAGGCACUGCACAAAGGAAAACAUGAGGCUGAAGGAAUGUAGCUGGCAUUGUACAUAUAUGUCAAUGGCUGUCCUGUCAUAUUUAUGUGAAAAAUAACAUCUCUUUAGUAUCUUAUGUGCGAAUCGGCAGUAUGUAGUCAAUUAAGCUAAGAUAGACUGUAGUGUUCUUGCAGCUCUGUGCAUCUGCCAUUGUUUCCUCAGACACUGUAAAUCAUAACCAGCAUCAGAAUUUUCUCAUACAAAUGACUUCAGAAAUUCAAAAUGCAAAAAAGCCACGUUAACUCAACAUUGGCCUGAGGUUUGUGAAGGCUCGGAGACUUUGAACUUCCUGUAGCAGCCACAGAUGAGCUGUGUGCUGCCUUUGACUACAAGUACCUCUUUCCCUUGUAGGCAGGCUGGCACCCUAGUGCCCCUGGCAGCAUUUCCUGUCCUUUGGCAAGGAAUCAUAGAAUCACAUGAGUGUAUCAGAAUGCAUCAGCCCUUCAUGGAGGUCACUUUCUACAACAGCUCGGUUAACUUAGUAUGGCAGGGACCGUGGCUACUGUCCUAAAAUAAAUAAAUAAAUAAAUAAAAUAAAAAGCCAUAAUAAAGGACACUCAGUUAUUCGUUCCUGGGUCUACUUUCUGUCAGACUCUUUCUCAGACAGGGAAAUCCCCCAUCUUCAUUGAUCUAGACACUCAGUAGCAAUUGGCAAACGACCCUUCAAGAGCCAAUGCUAAUGUUUGUUAGAUCCUUAGGCUUGUUCCUGCUCAUCAAUAAAAAAAAUUGAUCUGUAUUUUUGUUCUAGACAGUAAGUGUAUGUUCAGGCUCUCAGCUGUGCGGUCACUUCCCGCAUGCCCAACAUCCGCAACUAGCAAAGAGGAAGGGUCCAUUUAGUUCAUUGCCAGGCCAAAGGACUGUGUAUAUCUUAUUGCACAAAUAUAUAUGCUUAUAAGCAAGUUGGCCAAAAUGCCCUGUGCAUGUGGUGACACAACAUUGCAUCUGGAAGAGGUUUUGAGUAUAGGCUGCUGUGGAUGGAGAGUGAUGUUUAAUUUGCUCUAAGCAGAAGAGAAUAACUGAAAACUAGUCUCUAAACCUUCGAUUUUCCAGACUUUGUGUACAAAUGAUCUCUUAGCUGUUACAUCGCAAUGUCUUCUUUUUAGUGAAUAAGAACAUUGUUAAACUUGUUGCUUUAUUGUGUCACUGUUCUUCAGGGCAUUCUGGGCUCAGAAAAGGAAAAAUUUUAAGACACAAAAGAAACUGCAGCUAUUACCCAACCAUGAUACUCUUUCAAGAGUGACAUGAAUAUGAGUUUAGCUGGUGGGUUUCUAGGAGCAUCUGCUUCUCAGUGUGAGUUAAGAUUUUAUUAACAUCUUUAUGAACUGAUAUCUGAAAUUAAACUGGAAAAUCAGAUUUCCAUUUAAAAAGCUGAAGCCAAUUUGUUUGCAGGGAUAAUAGAAGUCAAAUGCUUCAUGUGAAUAAGCAUCGUAUAUAUGCACUAUCAAAUUGCUGGUAGCCUGGGCAAAGUUACCUUUUUACCGUUCACUGCAAAGAACUAUAUGGGGAAAAAUGUGAUGUGUAAAUUAUACUCCAAACUGAUUUCAGCUUGCAGAAGCAUCAUAUUUGGUCAAUUAGAUCCUGCAUUUUGGCUUUGUGCCUUUAAAGAAAUUUUUCAUUACUGAAGAUAAAUGCUUAUAAGCAGCUUUAUUUCUCUCAUGAUAACCUACUUAUUAGUUCGCAUUAAACAAAGAAAAUCCUCUGUGCCAGCAGACUGUCUUUGUGUGACUGAGCUCUUUCAUGAGACAUCAGGUGUAUGUGCUUCUUGGGCAACUUAAUUUAUCAGCACACAGCUGCGGAAAUACUCCUGCCAGAAAUAAGGUCAGUGGGCAACUGCCUCAUAGAAAAUAUGUCUGGUGACUGCACAGUCUCCGUGGAUACUGGCACACUGAGUGACCAGGGGCUGGUAACAGAAGUGGUACAGCUACACAUGAGAAAGAACAGUAGCUUUGUCAGCCUUGUGGUGGGGUCCUUCUCUUCCUGGGAAUCCGUGAGGGUGAUGAGAAGUGGAGAAGUAAGCAGGAUGUUUUUCUAUUCGUUUAUUGGAAAGUAUAAACCAUUGGGCUGUGUACUUGGCAGUUAAAGGUCAGUCUCAUUGAGGAUGACAUUAAGAAAAUAUAAAUAGAUGCUGUUUUUCUCUCCUUUAUGUCAAAACCUGUUGGUGAGACUAAAACGUGCAUAUUAAUAGUCUUUGUUGGAUGGGACUUUGUUGGAUAGUCCAUUGAAAAAUGGCCAGCAAAGUCUGACAUAGAAAAUCAAGGGAAGACUGUAACUCAACAGCUCGUUGUGACUGUUGUGACUUUUUGUUUAAAAAUGAACAAACAGACAAAAAAUAACAUUUUUUUUUAACCUGACAUUUGCUGAAUACAUACUUCAAUUUCCUUUAAGAUAAGCUUGUGACCCAUUUUCAAUUGAAACAAAAUCUAAAAGCCAGCAUGAACUGCUCUAGCAAGAGAUUAUGUUCUAGGUAACAAUGCUCUUCUUGUGCUGAGGCUGUAAGAGUGUUGCUGGAAACUGGUACUGAAAAGCAGGGAGUCUUCAGUGAUUUUAAAUGAAUUCUCUGUACUAACGCUUUCCUCUUCCGCCAGUAUGAGACAGCAGCUUGCCUACUGGUGUUUAAACUGAUUGACUCAAACAAGUAAUCCUUCUGUGAGCACUCUUUGUAUGAUAUAAACCUGAUGCAUAUCAUGGUAAAUUUUUAAGUCAAUUAAGUGCACACAGUGGAGAGUAACCACAUGAAUGUGGCUCAAGUUACUGCUUGUCAUCCAAGUCUCUUGCAAGGGAGGUAUCUCAUUGUGAAACUGUGUGGAAGAGUGAGCUCUUUUAUGUUUAGACUGAGAGGUUUGCACAGAUUUAAUUCACUUGAGGUAAACUGCUGCAACUUCUAUGUAUAGACAAGGCCUUCGUGACUGUGGAGAGGCAUGUUGGUAUUGGAGUCCUCAAUGAAGAACUUGUGUUGAUCUUCAGGGUUAAAAUUUUCCAUGCAAAUCUGUCUCCUCUCAUAGUUGCUUUUGUCUGCUGGUAACGUGAAGCUGCAGAGAAGUGGGAGGUAUGUGUCAUGGAUGUGGAGGCUCAGAUAACUGACCUACUUCAACCCCUUUCAGGAGAAGGCUGGUAUGAGAUGGAUGAAUGAGGUUUUAUGCAUAUCCACCAAUUGCUGCUGACCUCAUGUCAAGAAAGGCAUCUCCAAGACUUGCUGUAAGUCACUGUGAAGUCAGCAAAUGGCUACAGCUAUUCCUGGUCCUGCAGCAGGCUUCUUGCAGUAGCUUGGACUGUUGUUUCUAGCCGUUUCAGAGGGGUAUCCUGCAAAGAUGGUGAGAGAAACUAUAAAGAAAAAUCAUAAUUUUGCUUUUAAAGUGAGAAAAGCAGUGCAGGAGUAUCUAAGAACACAGGCACCCACUUGUUCAGUAAUCAUAGUGCCUCUUACCACUAAAGGAUUUCCUUUGCAUAAUAGCUUAAUUCUUAGAAAUGUCAUUUUAAUACAUUUACUUAUUUUUAAUGGAAGGAGGGAUGCUUUUGUAAAGCAAAACCUUGACUUCAGUGAUCAGACAGUGCUUCACAGGAGCAAACUGUUUUCAUUUAUAACAUUGCCCUCUAGUAAUAAAGGCAAAAUCACAUGCUCUGUGUACCAAUCCUGGAUAUUUCUGAAAAGCACUAUUAAAACACGGUAGUGAGAAAAGAUACAGGGUUGGAAGUUAUGUGUAGAGCAGAACUGCUUCCUGAUAUAGAAAGCUUCCUGAUAUAUAAAAUAAGCCUUUUUCCACUUGCGUUCUCUGAACAGAGGAAAAGAAGGAGGUGCUAUAAACAACUUUCAGUGAAGUGGAAUUUUGGUGAAAUAAAAACAAACCUCAUAAACUUUUUUUUUCCAGCAGCCUUCAUGCAAAUUCAAAAAGUUUUCAGCAAAAAACAGCUAUCAGAUAGUCACAACAAGGCUUACAGUUGUGAGGUUGACCACCAAGUAAGACUGCCUCUACUUCUCCUACUGCUUAUCAUCUUGUGAGAGGACCAGAGUACAGUGAAGACUUAAGAGGGCAGCCCUUCUGGCCAUUUGUAUGCAGGUGUUACUAUGCCACAUCAUGAGAUGGUUAUUCCAUUGCAUUUGUAUGCCACAUCAUGCAAUCCCUUGAGAUGAAAUUGUCAACUCCCAGCCUAGUUUUCUCCCUUUCCUCCUCGAAGAAAACUUUUCUGACAAAAAAUUGAAAGGAAAAAAGUUGUGUGUGCUUUCACAGAUAAAAUGGCUGAACAGAUAUUUUCACAAGAGCAUGGAGUCCUCAGGAAUAGCAUUGCUGCAGUUUGUUUGGAAUAGGUUUCUUUUUACUAACCUGCACCUGCUAAACUGAACAGUUCUUGCUGCUUUACAAGUUCAUUGUCAGCCCAUACAAAAUGACAAGCUUUUUUAGGCGCUGUUGCUCAGAACAUUCCCAAGAUUCUCCAGCUGGCUAUUAGUGCUCUGUCUUAAUAAGGCAGCACAAUAGCCACGAAAGACAAGGAGAUGACUUUUCUAAACAUUGGCUACACAUGGAUUCCUUUUAUGGUCCAGCUUGUGCAGUGGGGUAUUCCGCUGAAGGUCAGCAACAUGGAUAACAAAGUGCUUCCCACUGCAGCUUGCCUUUUGAGCGCAGGCAUCACGGUUCCACAUGUACGGCCUGCUCUGAGUGGGAGAGAAAGACAUAGUUGGUAGGGAAAUGUAGAAAAAGGGCAAAAAGGCUGUGGAGUGCUGUGUAUUUUGUAUGGAUGCUAUUGCUGUGUUCACCAUGGCUGCAGGAUGAAGUUGUCAAUGCCAUGUGCAGAAGAAACGUGCAUGUGCUGGGCUGGUAUUUUGUACCAAAAAAAAAAAAAAAAAAAAAAAAGAAAGCCCCCCUGAAAAAUUUCUCAGUAAGGUUUCAGAGUUCAGGUCAUCCCUCAAAAACACCAAGGGCAAAUUUUUAUGUCAUGCCCAUGAAUAUGGCUUUUCAUUCUUGCAACAAUAUGGGAUAGCAUGCUAAUGACCUUUUCAAACCAGUGAGUUAUGAUGGCUGGAGGGGUUGUCUGUGCUGCUGCAAUGCCACAAGAUGAAUUAAUUUAAGCAAAAGGGUUUUUUAUUUUUUUUUUAUUUCCCCUCCCACCUCUUUCAUUCCAUACAAGCUAGUGAGUCUUUUCCCUCCUUAGCGUGUAAUCGACUGACACUGGAAAGUUGAAUAAGAUCCUUCAGGGCUAUUGUCUUAUUACUUACAAAAAUAUUUCAGGGAAUGAGUGAGUCAUUUCAAUAUUUCUGAAGAGAAAGGAUAUAUUGGCUAUUAAUUUAAUAUGAGAAAUCCCCUACUAAGUAAUGAAAAUCUAUCUCAUCUUGUUUUGUCAGGCCUGAAUGUAUGUACAGGAUAUCCAUAAAUUGAAUGAAGAAAAUAUAUCUUUAAGGCAAAACAGAAAUGUUUAGGCAUAUUCAAUAGGUCUGUAAUCUAAUUUUUCUUCUACUGAUUAUUGUCAGGUGGGCUAAUACAAUACCUAAUAAACCAUGUCAGUGAAAGACUUUGUGUCACCAGCUCUGACACUGAGAAAGGAGAAGCACUUGAAGGUGUUUUGGUGACUCACCUCUUAGAAGUCAAACUUUUUUCGUCUGUCUUGCUGUUGCUUCACUGUCCACAACCUGAUUUCACCUAUCAUGCACAUAUUAUAUUUACAAUGAAAUCCUGAUGCAGUGACUUUGAUAUCAUCAUAGGUCUUGCAUGUUUGUGGUUAUGCUGGCUUUGAAGGAAAUGUGACUUCUCAGUUUGUUGGCUGUAUGGUUUUACUGGAUAUAGUAUCUCACUUUGAGAACAUAAUGGCAUAAAUGUGCACAAGUGGAGCAAAGAUCACAAGACAUGCAGUUUGGUUAAUGAGAGCUCCUAAACUCUUGUCAAUGUCUGCUGAUAACAGAAGAAAUCCGAAAUAGAAAUGAUUACUAAAUAAUACUUUUUAAGGCAGAAAAGAGCUAUGUUGGCCCUCAGUUAAACUCAGAGGGUGAAUUUAGUAGGCUGCGUCAUUCCUUCAUAGCUGUUCCAUAUUAUGCUGCAUUCACUAUUUUAAAACUUGCUCUCACAUGUUUCAGUCUGAAUCCUGUUUUCAGUGGUUGUGAGUUUAGCAAUUACUCUGAAUUUAAGGAAUUGGUAUAACGGAGAACAGAGAUCAUUUGUCCUGUUGUCAUUGUACUGCUAGAAGAGAAAAUAUUGGUAAGAUGUCUUGGUGACUAGGAAUGACUUUUCCGUCACCAACCUGUCUUCCUUUAUUUAUUGGUUGUUCUUUCCUCUUGGGGAAGAACUUGGGCUGUACCCUGUCAUCAGUUUUUAAGCCAAAUUCUUUAUGGAAGUCAAUAGGGAGUCCUGCGCAAAGGGAAAUGACAUAAUGUUGCCCUUUAGUCCUACCUACCGAGAAGCAGACUUGGGAAAAAUACACAUUUUCCUAAUUACUGAGCACUGAAUUUACAGCAUAUGUUCAUUUUCUAUCGACAUCCGGCAGCUACCCAACAUAUUGUAAAUUGGGCCAUUUGUAUUCAAGACAAUUGUUUUUAAUAAAAAUAUUCUGAAUGUUGUCUUUAUUUGGAUUACAUAUGGUAAAUAUUGAGGUCUUCACUGUUCUGAGGUGAAGAAUGAGCCAUUUUUAUGAGAGACAUUGACUGUUAGCUAAAAUGUCUCCUUGUCCUACUGGAGUACAUGAUGAGUUAGUAGGCUGCCACAUUUUACUCAAGCAAUAAAUGCAUUUUGCUGGAGAUAUGUCUCUGUAGUUUGCAGCGCACUUUCCAUAUGAAAGUGUGAACGUAAGCUGAUAUCAUCUGAAUUGUCAACUUUUACAGGAGAAAUGCUUCAGCUUCUGUGCCUAAUGGCCUACUUUUACAGUGACAUUAAGUCGCUCCUCUGUAGGGCAGGAUGAAUAGAGUUGCAGAAGGGUUUUGAAAUUGGGACUUUUAAAAUAAGACAAUCCAUUUGCUUGCUAAAAUUCAGACUCUUUAAGUGCUUAAGUAGAUGAAGGAAGACUGUAAGCAUAAGGGAUAAAGAUAAAACGCAGCUAGAGGGGAAUGCUUCAAAGAUAGCUUGAGGAGACUCCUUAAUUUGGGAACAGUAAAACCACUAUAACGAUUUUUACCCCUUCUCUUUAGCACUGGAUUGUGUUUGUUAUGGCAUAAGCUGUUUUCAUAUACUUCAUAACCUUAGCAGCUGAGAUCUAGGCGAUCUUUUUUUUUCAUCACCCAGGUAACAUGGCAGUGCAAUUCACUUAGCUUUGCUGAUAGCGAACUAAGAGCAAUUCACUGACACAGCCAAAAACCUAGUAAAUGGGAUGGAUGAAACCUUUAUUCUUGCCUAUUUAUCUAUUAGAUUUUUCUCCAACCUACAGCUGCAGAAUUUUGAGAAUUUGGAGAAUCACUCAAGCCAGAAUUUUCAGCAUCAGCAUUUCGGUAUUGGUCAUUAUUAGAAGUAGUCAUGAAAUAUCAUCUUUCACACUAGGCUGCAAUAAUCCACCUCUGUAAGUUUUAUGGUCUUUAGAUUGCAGGAUGGCCUGCAUCUGUUGAUUACAUUUAAGUAAAACUUCAUGCUCAUUUUGUGGCAUGGAAAAUUAGAUGCAGACCCUUUGUUUAUCUCUGCCGCUCACAGCCUGUUGACUUCUGGAUGGUGAUAUGGAGAUGUUACGGUGAAUGUGGUGAUAAUUUCCUGGGCUGAAAGUCUGAUAAUGCUAGACUUGUUAGAUGUUGGGUGCCGGGCACUGAGAUGGCAUGAGCUGUUUUGCACAGUGUGUAGUCUGUUUGUGGGACUGGCCUGCUCUUAAUCUGCUGAAUACUUACAGAGGCUGGGGAUGAGCAACAGCACCUCCUUGUAGCCCUUUUCCUCUGGAUUUUAUGAGUUUUCACGUGAUAUGGCUUUUGUUUAAGGCAGUCGGAAGUGUCUUUCAAGUGCCUCCAAGCUUUAGAGGCACAUCUUGAAAGGCCAGUUGAUAGGGUACUUUAAUGCAUUACUGAUUUGUCUGUGUGAGAGAACGAUGUGGAAGACAUCUGGAGACUUGUUCUGGCCAAGACUAACAAACACGAUGCUGAUUUUUUUGGGAAAGUAAUCAGAAUAUAGGGCAGAAAUCAUACCAGACCCUUUGACUGAAAAUACUUUUGUGCCAUUUGUGAACUGGAUUCACCAUCUGGGUUAGCAGCUAUGGUCAUAUCAGAUUAUUAUUUUUUCCCUGUUUUUGUCUCACUCUUUUUUUUUUUUUUUCUUAAACCAGAACCAUGUCCCCGUUUCUUGUAAAUGUGCCUUUGUCAUCACGGGUUUAAGCUGUCAUAAUACAUUUUUCCUCGAGCUCCAUCUUUAAUCACUUAGUGGCAGACCUGGGAAUAGAAGCCAUGCCUUUGCCACAGGACCAUCAGCUCAGUAAGGCAGAGAACAGCUGUGAGCUUUCCUACAGAGCAGCCUGGUCUGCACUUUGCAUGUAAGCUGUGUUUCCAGCAUCUCAUAAAGUAGGACAAAUACAGCUUCACCUUUUAAUAUACAGAAGUGUGUCUCAGAAGACACAGAACUGCUUGCAGCCUUUAUGCAGAGAAAGGGAACGUGGCAGUUGAGCUUGUAUAUUUAGUGAACAUUGUGAACAAAUAAUAAAUUAAGACUUACUUAUAGGAAAAAAAUAAGUCACUUAUGUAACUCAACUCCCUUUGCUAGACUUCCUCCUCCCUAGCCACGCUCCCCAUUAUUUAUCAAUUAAAUAUGCUAGGAGUAUUGAGCUGCUGACCACAGAAUUGGGGAGGGGGUGGAAUAAUGGUUAUUAUACUGUUCUAAAAGCCAUAAUACCGAAUACCAGAAAGAAUGAGAGUCAGAUGUAGAUGAUGCUGUUGAGUUGCCACUGGUAGAACAGAAUGUACUGUACUAUCCAGCAAUGGUUGCUGCUUUGUCUAAAACCAUAUACUAUGAGUGAACUGUCAUGUCAGUCUGUAGCAUUUGUGUGGUUUAUAGGCUUCUCAUUACGUUGCUAAACUGUGUGCAAUAGAUUAAAGUGCCAUUAAAAUUCCAUGUCUCAAAACAUUUUAUUCUGCUGUGCUAACUUCCCUCUGCUUCCAUGGAAAGUUACGUGUAUGUGAAGACUCUUAGCAUUCAGGAAAAGGUUUCUGUUUGUUAUUCCUUCUAUGGAUAAAAUUCUCAUUGAUUUCAUCUUAAAAAAAAAAAAAAAAGAAGAAGAAAGAAAGGAUGGAAGUGCGUUGUUUUUUAAUCAAGCCAUGUAAUAGUAGGAGAUUUUGGUGUCUGAGAGAUAGAAAAGAGUACUGAAAACUGGAAAAGCUAUCUCAAACCCUUUUUUACAAAUGAAAAUGGGGGAGGAGGGAUAGUUGUCCAUUUCCUGCAAGGUAACAAUGAACAACUCCAGUUUUCUUCAGGUGGAGAAAACUCUCUGAAGUGGUAAAUUGUUCCAUUAAGAAAUAUGGGUAGAACAUGUCCUGAAAGAGAGCAAAAUGCUCUGUUCCUGGAGGAGAGGAUAGGGAUGAUGUUAUCACUGUGAAAUAUGUGCUGCUGCAACAUGAAUCACUUCAGUGCUUGGGUUCUCUCUGUGUUAAUCAAAUCAUCCUUAGCAACCCCUCUUUUUUUUGCUAUUCUUAACUUUAGGUCAGUGGUGUUUCAUUACUAACUAUCUGGAGUCACAAAUUAGAAACCAGCACCAGAAAUUUGAACUGAAUCUGAACUUAAAAUUAGUUUAAGCUGUUAUUCUUUUCUUGAAAUGAAACUCAGUCCAAAUCAUUAAUUUAAAAUGUCUCUUUUUAAUUCAAAUCUUAACUUGAAUUGAAGGAACCAGACCCAAGCCAAACCGAAGCUGAGCUUAAAAAUAUACAUUACUUGAACUUCAUGAUCAGCACUAUACCCCAAAUUCCUUUAUGCAUAGACAGUGAAGAGAAGGCCUCUUGUCUGAAAUUCUUGGAGAGGGAGUAUGGCUGAUGGAGAAGCGCUGAACAUUCAGUAAGAGUGAGGCAAUUACAAGUAACAGUUCAGUUAAUUAGCUAUGGAGUCAUUAGCAUAUGUGAUCCAGGCACAUUAAAAGAUGGAUUUCAUAGGGAGAUCUAAGGAAGGAGAAAAUAAGAUGUCUGACGCCUACCCUUGCACCCCAAGAUACAACUGCCAGCCUAAGACUGGAGGUAGAAAUCAAAGAUGUAAUUCCUAGCAGAGUGUACAGUGGGCUGUUGGUCACCCUGUUAGAUACGUACACUUUACCAUGUAUAGUUGGUGAGGACACUGGCCUUUUCCUCCAUUCAUAUCACAGGUCUACUCUGCCCUAGAAAGAGCUUGGCAGUACCUACUCUCUGAUACCAUGAAGUAUCUCUGCAAAAUCUUCCAUGGAUUUCAACAGUAUAUUUCCAAAUUAAUCGCCUUCUAAAAAGUGUUUAGACUAGUUCAAAUCUGAAGGCAAACAAGACAGUAGAGAUGUAUAUUGGUGACUACUGGAAGUGAUUAGUCCUUCUUUCUUUCAAGUGCUGCAUGUCAGCCCUAUCUGCUUUCCUCCUCUCUGUUCCCAUUCUAUUCUGAAUGUUAGAUGCCUCAAAACUGAGGUUGAAGCUCUCCACGUGUGCCAGCAGUUGCUUACUUACUGCACAGAUAUCUUCCACUUUCUGAAGAUGUAUGGUGCUUUGUGUUCCAUCUUCUUUUAAAUUUAAACAGGUUCCCCACAUUUCCCAGUCAUUCCAAAAGGCCAGAACUAGUGGGAAAAAAAAACCAACAAAAACAAAACCCAACAUCAAAAUGUCAAAGAACAGGAAACUGAAUCAAUUUUUAAAGAUUUUCCUGUCUGAUGGGUUCCCAGCAAACCCUGCCCAUGCCACUCUGCUCUGGGUGGUUUCCCAGCAGUAUGGGAUUAUAUUCAUGGCACAUGGCUUGACAGAGGGUCCCAGCAUGGUCUCCUCCCGGCUCGUCCCAGGCACUCUCUGCACAGAGGUGCCGAGUAACUUGCCUGCUCUUUAUUUCAGCUCAGCUUUGCAGGAACUCCGACACUGGCCCUUGUGACAAUGGGUCUUUGGCUUGUGAUAAAUACCUUCCCCCCCCCUUUAGUAUUUAAUGGUCAGUUGUCAGCAUCCAGGAAAACUGUGUUUAGACGGCAUUGGAAACAGGUACCAAUAUGGUUAGCUGACGCAAGAGUGGUUUAUUUUCCAUUUUAAUAGUUCUUUAAACAGGUCAUGCAUUGGUAUACAGCUCCUUUGUUGGAAUAAAAAUCUUUGUCAUAGGCUGCAAGACAGCUAAAAAUAGCUGUGGUGAGUAUUUAUGCUGAGGAUAAUCUCAAGAGAAGGUAUUUUUAACUUUGCAUGCUGUUUAGAAUAGGAAAUUCUUUUAAUGCCCACAUUUUCCAUUCCUAUUGCCAUUAGCUUUUCCCCACCCCUCUUAUGAUGUGGGCCUUGCACUUUCUUUCUCCCUUUCAUUUCUUUUAAAGUUCAAGGUUAGAGCCAAUCUGCUCCAGAGGCAGACUUGAGUUUAUUAUUAUUUAAAGAAAAUGCUAACUUUGGCCUUUUGCGACUGUAUGGGAAUUCAGUUCAUUUCAUGGGGCUAUCAGAAUGUAAACAAGAUAUCUCACUAAGCUGUCACUGCAAAUUGGGUAAUGAAUGAACACUUUAUUUCUCUAGCACAUGGAACUAAUGCGCUUGUUAGAAUAACAGUGGCCAAUCUAUUUUAUACUCCCAUGGAAAGUAUUCCACUUUUUUUUGGCAAGUUUGUGUGAGCCGCUACUUGUACCAAUACUCAAGCUAAUGCUGAGGGAGAGAGAAAAAAAUAGUAGUGUCAGGCUGAACUGUACUUAUAACUUUAAAAUAUGGCUCCCAGCAAAGCCCAGUCCUACAUGACUCAAUAAAUAACUGUGACCUACCUAAUAGUCAAAUGUUGUGUUGAGAGAAAGUGCUGUGUAGACUGUGGGCCAAAUUCAAUGCAGGUAUAGGUUGACACACUUAAUGUGUAGCCUUUGAGAGGAGCUCAUAGCUGACCUGUGAGCAGUUGUACAGCCAAGUUAGACAAUUUUUUUUUCCUUAAAAAGAAAAUAUAGAUAUUGUUUUUAAUCUUAAAAGAGACUAGAGCCGCACAGUUAAUGGAACUCAGGUAGCUUUGCAAGUGAAGCCUAAGGUGAUCAGUAUGAAUUUUCAGCUAAUUACACAUUUCAUGCCUGUAAGUCAGAUGAGACGUGUCCUGUCCAGACAGGCAGAUUUUUAAAGGUAUUUCAAUAAACAGAGAAAGGGAGAGGCACCUUGUGACAUUCUCUGAAACCUCUGUCGAUCUCUACAGGGGCUUUGCAGAAGCAGAUCUGCACACACUCCUGACAGUGUCACACAUGCUCCCUUCUACUGCUGUCAGCUGCAGAGCAUCCUUUUGGCCUCUAGUGAUUUUGAAGGUGAAAAAUACAUGUUUCAAGGCUCUCCUCCACUGUGAUGAGGUGAUGAGGAUAGGUAGGAUCUGUGGCCUAUGAGCCACCUACCCUGUUUGACAAACAGCGCUGUUGACUUUGUGGAAACUGUGUUGACAGCUCAUCUUACUGUCAGGUUUGGAUACUAUGUAUUUGUUGCAUCAAUAUGUAGGUAGAUGUGUGCACAUGACUUGCAGUUCUGGAACUCUGACAUCCCUGACAAAAGGGAUGGCAGCCGCACAGCCUGCCUGCAGUGCUGACAAUGAGAGAGAGAAGAAUCUUGGAGGAUGGAAGAGCUUUUUUAGUGCAGACUGCACCUUGGCUUGAAAGGCUUGCCAAGUGAGCAGUGUGACGUUCACAAAGAUCAGGGUCUAAUUUCCCAUGUGUAAAGCUGUUUCCCAGAAGAUAAGAGGUUAUUAAAUAGUACUGCUAAAUAGAAAAUGUAACCUUCAAAACAGUUGUAAGCAUUAGGGAAACAUGCUGUCUACUUCCUGGCUGGAGAGAAGUUGGGUGCUCAGAUAGGCCUCGCUGGAGAAACUGUGGUAAACAUCAAGUUGCCAGGCCAAAGGACUGAGGUCUCCUGCCCAGAGGCAGCUGAUGACCUAAUACAGGCAGGUUUCUGUAGUCCUGGGAGGUCUUUGCUGAAAGCCAUCAACAAUCCACGUGGGGAGGAGCCUAGGGAGUAGAACUGAUGAGCAUGCUGUAAGCUCAGCUACCCUGGGGGGCUCUUGCCCUGGGUGAACAAAACCUGUGGGGAGCAGCAAUCAGUGGGAUGCAGGACUCAGCUAGGAUCAGCACUGGCCAUGAUAUUCCAGCAGCGAGGCCAGAAACUGUCAGAAUCAGCAAGGAGAAAGCUGGUGGAUUGCAGCCACGCUGAGUACUCUCAAGAAAAAGGCACAGGGAGCGUGAUGAAAUUUUUCUGCAUGUGCCAUAGUCUUGACAUAGAGGCAGCUUUGCUGAAUUAGCUCUUAUGGUUGCCAGGUGUAAUGUGUCCACUAAAAUCUGGCUGGAGACCACCAAGUUCCUCACAUUCUCACUUUAUGGGAUUUAGUCAAAUUAUUUCUUUUGCAGUUACCUUGCCUUUCUUAUCUGAUGAAACUGUGGCUACAUUAAAUUUUAGAAUUUUGCUCCUUUCUCUGUUGUCUAGAAUGUGACAAGAUCAAAUUUCCCCCUUACUACCCAUUAGUAGCUUAAUUUUUUUUUUUUUACAUGAAGUUUUUUCAACAAUAAAAUCCCUCCAAGGCUGCAGUUACAUAAUAUUCAAGGUCACAGUAAUCAUAACAGAAUCCAUCUCACUUAGUAGUAGUGCACUCAUGGAAAUGAAAAUGCCCCAGCAGGGCUUUUUUUUUUUUUGCAGGAUUUUGCUGCUGCACACAUAAUUUGUAAGACUCGAUCCAUGAAUGACGAGGCUAUUUUUAGGCCCACUGCAUUGAGCUGUUUGUAUCUUCAAUUUUUUUUUUUUCCUUGCAAGAUGGAAGCAAAAGGCAUGCAGUUUUAAGGUGAGAGACAAUACUGUAAUGGCAAAAUUUCUUUAAUAUUACUGUUUUGCGUACAUUCUUAUGGACUUCUAAACCAAAGUAGCGUGGGAUUAAGAAGUAGCAUAUCUACAAGUGUAUAGAGCAUACGGUCUUCUGAUAUGUUCUGUGCUUUCAUUUCAUGUGCUCCCUCUAUUUCUUCCCCAUGGUCUCAGCAGCCCAGUCCUACAUCUAUAGUUUUCAGCCUUUAUACCAGGAGUUAUGUUGAAAGAAAAGCUUUAAUGUGACUUGACUGACAGGGGAGGAACGGUAAAUCUUAUGAAAGUCAUCAAACAGACUAACUCGCUAGCUGUAAAAUGUGUCAUUUUGUUCAUAUUUUUCUAUAUCUGGUAGUCUUUCUUCUCUAUCCAGAGAGCCUGGAAGUGUGUUUUGUCUUUAAAAGUAGCAAUGUUGUGACUAUUUACAGAGAAUGCCAGGACAACAAAUUUAAUGCAGUUUCAGUCAAAGACAAACCUGUUGCUAAAGGGACCUUCUCUUCAGGUGAGACAUGGUUCUCUGGACAAGACAACACAAUUCAGUCUUCAGUAUUGAAAAAUACAUUUCAAACAGAGCCAUAUCCACUCAUCUGCUGCAUAUGGGCUACCCUCCAUGAACUGAAUGCAGGAUGUGAUUGAAUGGGGACACUGUCACCAGCGAAGCUGCAUAAAGAUUAAAUUUGGCUUGAUCUUUCUCAGGGACACUGUUGUAUAGCUCUUCACUAAAGGAGAUUUGAGCAGACACAUAGAAGAUCACAAAAUAUAGCCACUGCAUUAUCAAACCUUCUGUUUAGAGUUUUUAGGAGCAAUUAGGGCAAGUAAUGGUUGAUUUAACACAUGGGUAAGAAUUUGUGUUACAGAUAUUCUCCUGUGCCCAGUCUGUAGGGUGAAAGAGAAGUAUUUUAAUGGUCAGUGUGGUCUCUUUAGGAUGAUCUGUAAUAGCUUGAGGAGCUAUCUCUGCCAUCCUUUCCAUUCCAUGCACAUACGGUGCAUAUUGGCACAUAUUGGCAUUGAUCCCUUCGUUACAGUCUAGAAUUCUGCUAGAAGUCUUCCACUGCUGCUCCUGAUCCAAACUGAACCUUCUACUCUUGUAAAAAUACCAGCAAUUUAAUAGCAGUAGACAUGUGCAUCUUUGGAUUGCAAUGUGUGUUGUGAAAUGACAAUAUAAUCACCACAGUUUCCUUAGUUAAGGAUGACUUCAAAAUUUCUGUGGCAGCUUCCAGCUAACCUAUGCGGGCUAUAGCACUUGAAUGGCUGUCCACAGGAUUUAAGCAGGGUUUUGAAGAGCUUUACUAUGAUGGAGGCUGAGUAGGUUUGUAAUGUCCCCUUGUAUUUCUGCAGGAAAUCUGCAGAAGAUUAGAGUUAAAUCUUAGCUUGUUCAGCCUGUUUUGAUCAAACUUGUCACAGUUUUAAUUCCACUAAUGCAAGUAUAGGGGUCAUACAUCCUAUGAGGAAAGGUUGAGGCAACUGGGCUUGUUUAGCUUGGAAAAGAGAAGGCUCUGAGGAUACGUCAUUGUGGCCUUACAAUAUUUGAGAGGAGCAUACAAAAAGGAGGGGGAAUAACUGUUUACAGGGGUAGACAGUGAUAGGACAAGGGGGAAUGGGGACGUUUAGGCUAGAUAUUAGGAGAAGUUUUUCACAGAGGGUGGUGUCAUGCUGGAACAGGUUGCCCAAGGAGGUUGUGGAUGCCCCACCCCUGGAGACAUUCGAGGCCAGGCUGGAUGUAGCUCUGGGCAGCCUGGUCUAGUGGUUGGCGACCCUGCACAUAGCACUGGGGUUGAAAGUAGAUGAUCUUUGAGGUCCUUUUCAACCCAGGCCAUCCUAUGAUUCUAUAUGCUUUCUAGCACUGCAUGGGUAUGCCAGGACGAGUGUGACGAGUCUUCUCUAUAGUACAGCAAGGUGAUUGCAUGCUGUGAGAUGGAUGGAAGCUGAUAGAGUAGAAACACUGUCAAAACUUUAUAGACUGUUCUGUGUCGAUGACAGCUGUGCCAUCUGAGUGCGCAGGUGAGAAACUGCAAAUUUCUCAAAAUUCUGUGUUAAAUUCUGAAAAUAUUAUCUUGAUGACAACAUUUUUUUGUUUGUUUCAAAUGUUCAGUGUAAUCUGAUGGUAAUUUAGAAAUGAUUUUUAAAAUGUUUUACAUCAGAGAAAAUGCUUGUCUUUAUUCUCCCUUUGAAACUUUUGGAUAGCUCAUGACUUUAAAAUUCAAUGCAGAAUCUUAUAGAUACAGACGAAGGUAAGGCACAGUAGAGUUAACAGACUAAAGACUAUACCAAUAAUGGUUAAUUUUGAAGGAAGCAUUAAUUUCCUUUUCCUGUUUUUCAAGAUUUUUUAUGUGGAGAAGAAAUGCUUCUGCUGCAUAAACAUUUUUAAAAUAAUGACUUUAAAGGGCACGACUGAGAGCCCGAAUCCAAAUGUUUCGCUAAGUACUUUGUUUAACUCUUGCUUCCUUUUUUUCUUUUCUUUUCCUUUUUUUUUUCCUUCUCUUUUUUUUCUCCCGUGCUACAAUAUGAUUGGAAUCCAAAUCAGUAUAGGGCAGAUGCUGGCAAAAAACAAGGAUAAAAUAAUAUCUGCCUGUCCAUCACAAACUGUUCUGUUUGUCUGGCUAGUAUUUUAGCCAAAAAAAGAACCAAAAUGACAAGGGGGAAGGCGUAGUGGUCUCUGCUCUGCUUUGUGUACUGUCAACAGCGCUGUGGUUGUUAUGGAUGAUUUUCUCCUUUCUGGUGCAGAUACAAGAAAGAGAAUGAACACAGCCAUCACUUUGAGCUGACAGGUUUGAGUGCCCUUCUCAGAAUAUUUCUUCUGGGUACAUUUAUCAUCCAGCUUCAGGGGAAACAAUGCGUAUGGGGGUAUGUGGGUGGGAUGGGAGGGUACCCUAACAUUUUAUCGUUGUAAAUUUCUUCAUCUAGUAAAUAGUCCAAAUAAAUACUGUGUGUUGUGAGAUGAUUAGUUGUUGUUGCUUUACCUGCACUAGGUAUGUUCUUCUUGAAGGAGGCUGCUGUCAGUUACAGAAGUGCACAUGUAGGAGGAGGGCAUGACAUCUUACUGGCAGCCUACUGUCACUUUGUGGAAAAGUGGAUUAGAAAUGCAGUCACCCAACUUACAAUUUUGGAGAAGAGGCACACCAUAUAACAGGGGAUAGAUGGCAAUAUGCUUAGAUUUACUCAGGCAACCUCUUAUUCCAACCUAUAUUUGUAAGUAAGCUGUUCGCAGGUGAAGAAAAAUAAAACAGAGAGUUUUAAAUACAACUGAAUGUUUAGCCUAAUUUUAAAUAAUGAGGCUGAAUUUACUGAAAAUAAUUUUCUGAAUUCAUAUGACGUCUCAGUCUCUUAUGAGAAAGCCAAUGGAGUGGUUCUUAGCAUAUGGUACCAAAGAUAUGUCUGAUUACACUUAUUGUUUAGAUCUUGGUCCUGUUUGUUUCAAUCCUGCUUCAGCUUUACCACAGCAGAGGACCCUCAGGUAAUGCUUACGCCACCUGUUCAAUGCAGGAAAUUGCCUGUAGGGUUCUCUGCUUGACUUUGACCAAAUGCAGCCAAAAUCUAUGUGUUUAGAUGGAUUCAAAAGAUGGGACCAAAUAAUGGCUUUUCUCAUGCAGAGUUCCUAGUUGCCUUACAUGGAGAUUAAAUGCUGCUGAUUUAAGGUAACUUCUGUGAAAAGACUGCCCUACAGGACACUGCAAUAGAAAGACAAUGUAUAGAGAAAAGGUCUGUGGCAAUGAAUUUCCGUUAUCAUGAUUCUUCCCAGUCCAUCACGCUGCUUACAUCUUGAUUAACCAGGUCACAAAGGACUUUAAUGCACAGGCUCAAGAUAGCAGAAUUAAGGAUGCUCUGGGAAUCUGAUUUUGUCUUGUUGAAGCUGUAUUCUUACCAUAACGUGCUUUUCUCCUUCACUCUAUGCUUGAUAUUUGUAGACAGACCUGCAGAAUAGCAUAUUGCAGAUUGACACAGAAUAAUAUGGAUCCAGUGUACAUGGGAUAGUAUUAUAAGCAUGAAUCAUGUACACGUGUGGGCAAAGAGUUUGUUAUGUCUCUAGCCAGCCGCACUAUAGAAUUGUUUCUGAUCUGCCUUACAGUUCC
rnacentral:lncRNA from 1 species